UUUUUUUACUAAUAUUUUUAUGUCCAGAAAUUUUCAACCAAUCAUUUCAAAUAAUUAACUAAGUAGUAAUUUAUUUUUAAAUAAAGAUAAAUAUUUUUCGAAAGAAAAAAAAUUCAAAACUCACCUUUUUUUACUAAUAUUUUUAUGUCCAGAAAUUUUCAACCAAUCAUUUCAAAUAAUUAACUAAGUAGUAAUUUAUUUUUAAAUAAAGAUAAAUAUUUUUCUUCUCAUGCAUAAUAUCUGCACCGAUCAAUUUUUUUGCCACAUAAUAUUCGUGAAUUUUUUAAAUAUCUUAACAUAAUUAUAGAUGACUUUGAAAUAAUUUCUCCUUCAUUAUAGGUGAUUUUUAAUAAUAUAGCAAAAGAUAUUAAUUUUUUACCAUUAGAUGUUAUCUAAUGAUUGAAAAUAAAAAUAUAUGUUAAUUUUUGUGACAAUAUUACCCUCGCAUUUGUAUCCUAUUUUCUAUCUUUUCUAAAAUAAAAUAUUUAUAUUUGAACUUGACACGUAGAUUAUUUUUCCUAAAGCAGUAAUAUCCGCACUCGCCAAUUCUUUUGCGCGUAUAUGCGGAAGGUAUUAUGUGAUUGGAUAUUAUAUAGGUGGUGGAUAUUAUGUGUGAGAAAAAAAAAAUGUGGGCGACGGUUAUUACACAUGCAUAUAAAAAGUGAAAUUUGAUACAUACUAUUUGAGGGCAAUUUAGAUAAAAAAAAUGAUAGAUAUUUUGUAUUCGUCAAUCAAUUAGAUUUAUUGACUAAAAAUUAAUAUAUUUUAUAAUAAUUUAAAUAAAAUAUCUAAUAUUUUAAAUUUGAGAUAACUUUUAUAUAUUCUACUUUUAAAAAAUAUGAUUAAAUAUUAUAUAUGUUAAUAUAUUUUAUAAUGUUUUAAAUAAAAUAUCCAAUAUUUUAAAUAUUGGUAGGUAAAAGUACGGGUAACUUUUAUAUAUUUCCGAUUUUUUCGCAACCAAUCAUUUCAAAUAAUUUGCAACAGAUUAUUGCGUAUUUCGUAACCAAUAAUUUUAAAUAAUUAAUUAUUUGCCAAUACGAAAUUUGAGUUUGACCAUUUUUUUCGCAACUAACCAUUUCAAAUAAUUCGCAACAGAUUAUUGCUUAUUUCGCCACCAAUAAUUUUAAAUAAACAAUACGAAAUUUGAGUUUGAUUUUUUUUUUCGCAACUAACCAUUUCAAAUAAUUCGCAACAGAUUAUUGAUUAUUUCGCAACCAAUAAUUUUAAAUAAUUAAUUAUCUGCCAAUACAAAAUUUGAGUUUGCAACAGAUUAUUUCCACCGCUGAAAAAUAAUUCGCAACAGAUUAUUACGUAUUUCGCAACCAAUAAUUUUAAAUAAUUAAUUAAACCAAUAAUUUCAAAUAAUUCGUAACCAAAUAUCCAUAUUUGUGUUUGACACGUGGCAAGCAUAUAGAAAGCCACGUGUCAGCUUCUCACAUAGGAUUCAUUAAGGGUUCUACUUUUAUAUAUAGUAAACAGAUUAUUACGUAUUUCGCAACCAAUAAUUUUAAAUAAUUAAUUAUCUGCCAAUACGAAAUUUGAGUUUGACUUUUUUUUUCGCAACUAACCAUUUCAAAUAAUUCGCAACAGAUUAUUGAUUAUUUCGCAACCAAUAAUUUUAAAUAAACAAUACGAAAUUUGAGUUUGAUUUUUUUUUUCGCAACUAACCAUUUCAAAUAAUUCGCAACAGAUUAUUGAUUAUUUCGCAACCAAUAAUUUUAAAUAAUUAAUUAUCUGCCAAUACAAAAUUUGAGUUUGCAACAGAUUAUUUCCACCGCUGAAAAAUAAUUCGCAACAGAUUAUUACGUAUUUCGCAACCAAUAAUUUUAAAUAAUUAAUUAAACCAAUAAUUUCAAAUAAUUCGUAACCAAAUAUUCAUAUUUGAGUUUGACACGUGGCAAGUAUAUAGAAAGCCACGUGUCAGCUUCUCACAUAGGAUUCAUUAAGGGUUCUACUUUUAUAUAUAGUAAUAGAUUCCAGCUCAACUCUAUAUAUAUAUAUAUAUAUAUAGAGAGAGAGAGAGAGAGAGAGAGAGAGAGAGUAAGGGUACUAUGCUUCUGGAAGCACGAAGCCUUUUAUACUUCCAGGUCGUUUUCAAUAUUGCGACUUUCGAAUCGUCGAUCGACUCCGUUAAACUUGAUUUAGAGUAUUUGAAGUACCUAGAAAAUAAAUUAUGCGAUUUUUCGAUAUUAUUUGCCUAGUGAACGAAGGGGCUUAAAAUCAACGGCUGAAAAAAAAAAUCUUACAAAACGUAAUAAUAUGACAUUAAAAUUUUAGAUCAAAGAUAUCGAUCUUAUUUUAUAUAGUAUAAAGAAUUUUCUAUCAAAAUUUCACAUGAUUUGAAUAUUUCUAUACCUUUAAACUUCCAAACGGCUCACUACGGCCAUUAAAAUUAUUGAUUUUGAGCCCCUUCGAUCACUAGGCAAAUGAUAUCGAAAAAUCAUAAAAUUUAUUUUCUAGAUACUUCAAGUACUCUAGAUCAAGUUUAACGGAGCCGAUCGACGAUUGGAAAGUCGCAACAUCAAAAACGACCUGGAAGCACG
rnacentral:lncRNA from 1 species